GACGAACGCUGGCGGCGUGCUUAACACAUGCAAGUCGAACGGCAAGGCCCUGCUUUUGUGGGGUGCUCGAGUGGCGAACGGGUGAGUAACACGUGAGUAACCUGCCCUUGACUUUGGGAUAACUUCAGGAAACUGGGGCUAAUACCGGAUAGGAGCUCCUGCUGCAUUGUGGGCGUUGGAAAGUUUCGGCGGUUGGGGAUGGACUCGCGGCUUAUCAGCUUGUUGGUGGGGUAGUGGCUUACCAAGGCUUUGACGGGUAGCCGGCCUGAGAGGGUGACCGGCCACAUUGGGACUGAGGUACGGCCCAGACUCCUACGGGAGGCAGCAGUGGGGAAUAUUGCACAAUGGGCGGAAGCCUGAUGCAGCAACGCCGCGUGCGGGAUGACGGCCUUCGGGUUGUAAACCGCUUUCGCCUGUGACGAAGCGUGAGUGACGGUAAUGGGUAAAGAAGCACCGGCUAACUACGUG
rnacentral:rRNA from 1 species